GACGAACGCUGGCGGCGUGCCUAAUACAUGCAAGUAGAACGCAGUUGCGCACGGGUGAGUAACGCGUAGGUAACCUUCCUCAUAGCGGGGGAUAACUAUUGGAAACGAUAGCUAAUACCGCAUACUGUGAGAUGGACCUGCGUUGGAUUAGCUAGUUGGUGGGGUAAAGGCUCACCAAGGCGACGAUCCCUAGCCGACCUGAGAGGGUGAUCGGCCACACUGGGACUGAGACACGGCCCAGACUCCUACGGGAGGCAGCAGUGGGGAAUCUUCGGCAAUGGGCGCAAGCCUGAUGCAGCCAUGCCGCGUGUGUGAAGAAGGCCUUCGGGUUGUAAAGCACUUUCAGCGGGGAGGCGUUACCCGCAGAAGAAGCACCGGCUAACUCCGUGCCAGCAGCCGCGGUAAUUC
rnacentral:rRNA from 1 species